CCUACGGGUGGCAGCAGUGGGGAAUAUUGCGCAAUGGGCGAAAGCCUGACGCAGUGACGCCGCGUGAGGGAUGAAGGUCUUCGGAUCGUAAACCUCUGUCAGCAGGGAAGAACGGUCACUGUGCUAAUCAGCAGUGAAUUGACGGCACCUGCAAAGGAAGCACCGGCUAACUCCGUGCCAGCAGCCGCGGUAAUACGGAGGGUGCGAGCUUUAAUCGGAAUUACUGGGCGUAAGGCGCUCGUAGGCGGUAUGUCAUGACAAGGGUGAAAUCUCCGUGCUCAACGUGGGUACUGCCUUUGAAACUGGCAAACUGGAGUGUGUGAGAGGAUAGUGGAAUUCCAAGUGUAGGAGGGAAAUCCGUAGAUAUCUGAAGGAACAUCAGUGGCGAAGGCGACUAUCUGGCACAUAACUGACGCUGAGGAGCGAAAGCGUAGGUAGCAAACAGGAUUAGAUACCCUAGUAGUC
rnacentral:rRNA from 1 species